rnacentral:rRNA from 1 species
CGGCGGACGGGUGAGUAACACGUGGGUAACCUACCUAUAAGACUGGGACAACUUCGGGAAACCGGAGCUAAUACCGGAUAAGAUAUCGAACCGCAUGGUUCGAUAGUGAAAGAUGGUUUUGCUAUCACUUAUAGAUGGACCCGCGCAGUAUUAGCUAGUUGGUGAGGUAACGGCUCACCAAGGCAACGAUACGUAGCCGACCUGAGAGGGUGAUCGGCCACACUGGAACUGAGACACGGUCCAGACUCCUACGGGAGGCAGCAGUA